UACAGAGGUCUCAAGCGUUGUUCGGAUUCAUUGGGCGUAAAGGGUGCGUAGGUGGCGCCGUAAGUCAGGUGUGAAAUUUCGGAGCUUAACUCCGAAACUGCAUUUGAUACUGCGGUGCUUGAGGACUGGAGAGGAGACUGGAGUUCACGGUGUAGCAGUGAAAUGCGUAGAUAUCGUGAGGAAGACCAGUGGCGAAGGCGGGUCUCUGGACAGUUCCUGACACUGAGGCACGAAGGCCAGGGGAGCAAACGGG
rnacentral:rRNA from 1 species